CAGUGCUUUUAAGGAUUUAUAUUUGUUUGCGACUCGAAAUGGUUUUCUCCAAAAUUUGACGCGAUAACAGUCGAAACCGUCGAAACGAAUAAAAGAUUUUACACUGCUCGAUAAAUAAAACGUAAUUCGAGCAGUUCAAUCGUUAUCGCUGCGUAAAAAUAAAUGAAUUAUUGGUUCGUUUAAGUAUCCGUGCGAGCAACCGGGGUUUUGCGAUUUUUGUUUUGAUUGUUUUGUCCGUAAAAAUAUUGAAUUGCUGCAGUUUCGGAUAUUGGGAGUCUCACUGGCUCCAGCCAACAAACAGCAAAAAAAAAAGAUAUUGGGAGUCAGUAUCAUUUUUGUUCUUUUUCAAAAGAAACAACUUUCUCAAUUUUGCAAUGGAAUCAGGGGGCAUAAACAUAACAUCAUCCUACACUUGGAUGGGUAGGCCCUCCACAAUCCGGAUACCCCGGUUCGUGGCACCCAGUGAAGGUCGGAUUCGGGAAAAAUGGAGGUAGUGGUGCAUUGCCAUCUUCGGAUUUAUUCUGAAGUGUAGUCCGAAAAUGGAGAAGGAGCGAUCGGUUGAUUUUUUUUAUUCUCCAUGUUUAUCGGAAUUAACGACACUAAACGACUGGGAUCAAUUGUUUUAAUUUUGCUGCACUGAGAAGUUUACAAACUACUGCUCGGCGAGAAAACUUGUGCUUUCAGAGAAGGAGGCCCAGGCGCUGCGGUUCCAACCGGAACAUACUGUACACCGGAAAUAAAUAUCAAUAAACCAGCUUGGUAGCGGAGAUUCACUUAAGGAAUCUUUGCAUCAGCUGAGAUGCGCUAGAAUACUCGGUUUCCUUCAAAUAGACGAAAAUGUUCCGUUUCCGCGAUGCGAAUGCCAAUUCGAAUUCGUUCUUUUUCUUCUCCGUCGGAAGGGAGGUUUCCCUGUUAUCUCUAUCGAAAGCAUUUAUUUCGAGAAGGCCAA